AACCCCCCAAGUGUACACUGGGAUUUGAAGUUUUUUCUUAUAUUCCCAGUGAUGAGUGCUGUCCUGUGUACAAGUGUUCCCAAGAAGGUUUGUGUACAUCAGAAUGCUGAGUUCUUGCCUAAUUCCUCAGUCUUUGUUGAUAAGUGUCACAAUUGCUUCUGCACUAAUGAAGUUAACAUCAGCACUCAACUGAAUGUCAUCUCCUGUGAACGUAUUCCAUGCAACACAUAUUGUGAACCAGAUAUGAACUGCAACACGUACAAGGUGAAUGUUGUGGAAAAUGUGUGCAGACAAAGUGUGUUAUACAUACAUCACACAGUUCCAAUCUCAUACUGAAUCCUGGAGAGUUUAUAAAUGAUCCUUACAACAACUGCACCAUUUACAGUUGUACAAGUAUCAAGAACCAGCUUAUUUCUUCCACAUCUGAAAUUACAUGUCCUGCAUUCAACGAGGAGAGCUGCAAACCUGUAAGUUACCUAAUGGUUGUUGCAAAACCUGUAUACCUCUGGAUAGCCCCACACCGUGCUCUGUCCGUGAGAGAAAAGACUUCAUUGUCUAUAAGAACUGCCGUUCUCUGGAGAGAGUUGUCCUGACUGAAUGUGAAGGAACAUGUGGAACUUUCUCACUGUACUCUGUUGAGGCCAGUUCUAUGGAGCACAGUUGUUCCUGCUGCAAGGAAGUAGAAACUAGCAUGAAGGAAGUGGAACUGAAAUGUCCCUCUGGGCACUCAAUUACACAUAAGUAUGUGUAUGUGGAAAGCUGCGGCUGUCAGGACACUCAGUGCAUAGUCCCAGAAUCUAGUGAGUCUCAGAGCACAGAAGAAAAUGAUGAGAGCACUCAAAAUCACAAGAGAAGAGCCAUCAGCUUAACAUCAAAAUGAAGCAGAAAAAAGCUAACAGCACUCAAGUAAAGGAGCUAUGCACCACUCUGAUCUUCCUUGACAGCUUUUGAACUUAGCUUUUCCCCGCUACAGUAUCCUGUUUGUUCUCUAAUUAUUUUUAACAAUGCUCUAUUUAUUUGUGUACAAAAGUACAGUGAACUUUCUUCUGAGUUGCAUACACCUAUGGAUCAUUUUAUAAUCAACUUAUUUUCUCUGAAUGAUUAAAAGCAC
rnacentral:lncRNA from 7 species